rnacentral:rRNA from 1 species
UUGGUGGCGACCGGCGGACGGGUGCGUAACGCGUAUGUAACCUACCUAUAACAGGGGCAUAACACUGAGAAAUUGGUACUAAUUCCCCAUAAUAUUCGGAGAGGCAUCUCUCCGGGUUGAAAACUCCGGUGGUUAUAGAUGGACAUGCGUUGUAUUAGCUAGUUGGUGAGGUAACGGCUCACCAAGGCAACGAUACAUAGGGGGACUGAGAGGUUAACCCCCCACACUGGUACUGAGACACGGACCAGACUCCUACGGGAGGCAGCAUG